rnacentral:rRNA from 1 species
GGCGGCGAGUGGCGAACGGGUGAGUAAUACAUCGGAACGUGCCCAGUAGUGGGGGAUAGCUCGGCGAAAGCCGGAUUAAUACCGCAUACGACCUGAGGGUGAAAGCGGGGGAUCUUCGGACCUCGCGCUAUUGGAGCGGCCGAUGGCAGAUUAGCUAGUUGGUGGGGUAAAGGCCUACCAAGGCGACGAUCUGUAGCUGGUCUGAGAGGACGACCAGCCACACUGGGACUGAGACACGGCCCAGACUCCUACGGGAGGCAGCAGUGGGGAAUUUUGGACAAUGGGCGAAAGCCUGAUCCAGCAAUGCCGCGUGUGUGAUGAAGGGCUUCGGGUUGUAAAGCACUUUUGGCGGGAACGAAAGGGACUGUGCCAAUACCACGGUUCGAUGAC